rnacentral:rRNA from 1 species
CAAUUCUGGUUGAUCCUGCCAGAGGCCGCUGCUAUCCGGCUGGGACUAAGCCAUGCGAGUCAUGGGGUCUGCGCCGCUUCGGCGGUGCAGGCACCGGCGGACGGCUCAGUAACACGUGGACAACCUACCUUCGGGAGGGGGAUAACCCCGGGAAACUGGGGCUAAACCCCCAUAGGGGAUAGGUGCUGGAAUGCCCUAUCUCCGAAAGUGCACAGUUGCCGUAAGGCGCUGUGCAGCCCGAGGAUGGGUCUGCGGCGGAUUAGGUAGUUGGCGGGGUAACGGCCCGCCAAGCCGAAGAUCCGUACGGGCCAUGAGAGUGGGAGCCCGGAGAUGGACCCUGAGACAAGGGUCCAGGCCCUACGGGGCGCAGCAGGCGCGAAACCUCCGCAAUGCGGGAAACCGCGACGGGGUUAGCCGGAGUGCCCGUGCUUUGCACGGGCUGUUGGGGAGCCUAAAAAGCUCCCCACAGCAAGGGCCGGGCAAGGCCGGUGGCAGCCGCCGCGGUAAUACCGGCGGCCCGAGUGGC